AUUGAACGCUGGCGGCAGGCCUAACACAUGCAAGUCGAGCGGUAACAGGAAAUAGCUUGCUAUUUUGCUGACGAGCGGCGGACGGGUGAGUAACGCGUAGGAAUUUGCCCAGUAGUGGGGGGAUAGCCCGGAGAAAUUCGGAUUAAUACCGCAUACGCCCUAAGGGGGAAAGCAGGGGAUCUUCGGACCUUGCGCUAUUGGAUAAGCCUGCGUGAGAUUAGCUAGUUGGUGAGGUAAGGGCUCACCAAGGCGACGAUCUCUAGCUGGUCUGAGAGGAUGAUCAGCCACACUGGAACUGAGACACGGUCCAGACUCCUACGGGAGGCAGCAGUGGGGAAUAUUGCACAAUGGGCGAAAGCCUGAUGCAGCCAUGCCGCGUGUGUGAAGAAGGCUCUAGGGUUGUAAAGCACUUUCAGUAGGGAGGAAAGUCGAUAGUUAAUACUAUC
rnacentral:rRNA from 1 species